rnacentral:lncRNA from 1 species
ACCCCCCAAAAAAAUUAACCUUAAUUUAAUUGACAUAAAUUAGUAAGAUUGCAAUCCAAUAUCCAAUAUGUAGUAAAUGAUCGAAUUUGCUGCACUUUGAUACCCAAAUGGCCGACAAACAGGUCAUGAACAUACCCCCACUCCUUCUUUAAAUUAAGUCAUUGUUGAAGAUCAUUAUGCACUUGCUUAAAUAUCUGUCAACCUCUCAGCUAUUGAAAAUGUGCUGUGGGGUAUUUUUUGUGAAAUGUUGAUAUAAAAACCCACAUUUUUCUGUUCAAUUCAAAUUUUUCCAUUAACCUUGAACAAAAAUCUAUACUUUUAAUAGGUAGAUGAAACACAUGUAGUAUCUGCUCUUAGUAAAAAAAAAGUGAAUUUUAUUUGCUGCUGUAUAGCAGUGGGACACAUAAUUUAGGUCACAGUUAGGGGUAAAAAAAAAGGCAGAUUGACUUUCUUACUAUUACAAUAACAUUGUUGCUGGUCUUAAGAGAAAACAGUUAUUAUCUGAUGUCUGAACUUGACAUUAAACUUAUUAUAAAUGUAUUCAGAAACCUACUGAAAUGAGGGAUGCUGUUUUACUCCUAAGAUACUGAUGCAUUCAAGUUAUUUGAUUGUAGAUCACAUAUCAAAUGUGAAAUUAAUUGAUACCAGCUAUGAAGUUUAAAAGCUAUAAAUUAUUCAAAGCCACUUAACUGUAAAAUAUUGACCAUAUGGCUCUCAAAUAAUGCUCAGAAUCUUAAAGAUUCAUCCGCUAACUUGAAUCAUGACUGUAGUUAGGGCACAUU